CAAGUGCUAAGCAUCUCUCGGGGAACUCCUUCAAGACUGUUGGAAGACCAUUUCAGAUUUGAGGGAAAGAUUAAAAACAAGGAGGUCUGGGAAUGACUGAAGGGAACUGACAGCAGUGCGGGAAGGAAGUUAUCACCAGAAUCUCAGAGGAUGUUGACAGUGCAGGUCCAGGAUGAAGAAGAGGAG